rnacentral:miRNA from 1 species
CUGAGGAUGAGAUUGAGAGAGAGGAUGAGAGGAAAGGGUGGGAGCGAGGAGUAACAAAAGUGAAAACAAUUUCAAAUAUAUUUUUUAGUUUUUAUUUAGUUUUUUAUUUUCACUUUUGUUACUCCUCCCUCCCAUUCUCCCCUCUCAUCUUCUCUCUCAAUUCCAUCUUCACU